ACCUGCCAGCAGUGCAAAUGGUGCUCGCACUCAAAAUGCAAGUGCUCCUUCACCACCGGUUGAUAAGCAAAGUCCAGCACCAGCAGCAGCAGCAGCACCUGCACCUGCAGCAGCAGCAGCACCAGCACCUGCACCAGCACCAGCACCAGCACCAGCUGAUAAGCAAAUUCCAGCUGGAAUUCCUGGAAGUCUCAAAAACAAUUACCAUCGCGCUGAUGGGCAAAACUGUGGCAACUUUCUCACUGUACUGCCCUUCUCAACUUAUCUAUUAUGAUUAUUUUAAUUUUAAUUGUAUUAUGUAAUUAGCUCUUGCUAUUUUCUGCAUAUCUGCUCUAAAUAUACUUGUUUGUUUCAACUUACAUUAGCCUAGGAAAUACUAGAAAGCUUAAUAGUAAAGUAGACGAGGAUUGGAGUCUCCUCCUCUUGCUUACCAUUUCCUAGUAAUAGUUCAGUAAAAAGUAAUGAAGUUGCAAAGUUAGUUUUCACAAGGAUCCUAUUUCAGUAAAACAGUGUUUUGAAUUGCAAUAGUGCUACAGAAAGGAAACCAUGUAUAAAUUACUUAGAAUAAUUCAGAUUUCUAUUAGCAUAAAGCUAUAGUGAAAAAUUCAAAACUUUAAUGUAAGAAUAAUUCAGAUUUCUUGGCUCAGCUACUUAAGCAUGGUUCCUUGCUCUGUUGGUAGGAAGGAAACCAUGUAUAAAUUACUUAAGCAGGGAGUAACAGGAAUUCUGUCUCCUGUUCUUGCAUAUCCAUAAGAUAUAAUAUGCACUUUAUGCAUGUUUUCUUUAUUUUCUUGUUUAUCUUGUGUGGAUUCUGAGUACUUUCUUGGGUUUUGUCUGACA
rnacentral:lncRNA from 1 species